rnacentral:rRNA from 1 species
UACGAAGGGAGCUAGCGUUGUUCGGAAUCACUGGGCGUAAAGCGCGCGUAGGCGGCUCGGAAAGUCGGGCGUGAAAUGCCGGGGCUCAACCCCGGGACUGCGUCCGAUACUUCCGAGCUGGAGGUAGGUAGGGGAGAUCGGAAUUCCUGGUGUAGCGGUGAAAUGCGCAGAUAUCAGGAGGAACACCGGUGGCGAAGGCGGAUCUCUGGGCCUUACCUGACGCUGAGGCGCGAAAGCUAGGGGGAGCGAACAGG